ensembl:rRNA 5S_rRNA 5S ribosomal RNA
ACCAGUGACCAAACUCUUGUAAUUGGCUCGUAUGUGUUCCAAUUCCAGCUGGUGUACAAGCUAAGCAGUAUCAAGCCUGGUCACGACUGGGGUGGGAGACCUCCAAGGAAAUCUGGAAGUGCUCUGGGC